UACCGUGGGUGCUGGUGUCUCCAAAGACGCCAAAGUUGGUGGUGGCGUCGGAGGAAGUGUGGGAGGGAGUGGCAAUGCCUAUACCGGAACUGGUGCCGGCGUUUCUAGUGGAGGAUCCUCCGGUGGCGCCGAUGCUGGCGCUGGCGCUACCGUAGGUGCUGGUGUCUCGGGAGGCGCUAAAGUUGGUGGUGGCGUUGGAGGAAACGCGGGAGGAAGUGGCAAGGCGUAUACAGGAACCGGUGCCGAUGCGGGUGUUUCCGGUGGAGGAUCCGGUGGCGUCGAUGCUGGUGUCUCCGGAGGCGCCAAAGUUGACGGCAACAUUGGAGGAAAAGCGGGAGGGAGUGGAAAUGCAUAUACUGGAGCUG
rnacentral:lncRNA from 1 species